rnacentral:rRNA from 1 species
GACGAACGCUGGCGGCGUGCUUAACACAUGCAAGUCGAACGGAAAGGCCCUACUUGCUUGGUACUCGAGUGGCGAACUGGUGAGUAACACGUGGGUGCUCUGCCCUGCACUUUUUGAUAAGCCUUGGCAACUGGAUCUAUUACCUGAUAGGAGCUAUUUUUUAUGUGUUGGUUGGAAAGUUUUUUCGGUGUUGGAUGAGCUCGCGGCCUAUUAGCUUGUUGGUGGGGUAAUGGCCUACCAACGCGGCAACGGGUCGCCGGACAGAUGGGGUGGACGGCCACACUGGGACCGAGAGACGGCACAGAUGGCUAAGGGAGGAAGAAGUGGGGAAUAUUGAACAAGGGGCGCAAGCCUGAUGCAGCGAGGCCGCGGGGGGGAAGACGGCCUUGGGGUUGAAAAAUAGUUGCGCUAGGGAAGAAGCUUUUUGUGACGGUACCUAGAGAAGAAGCACCGGCUAACUACGUG